AAUGAAUAUGGAACCUGAAGCAAACAGAAAUGCAAACCCUUUCCCCUAAUUAAGAAAGGCUGCAAACUGACCCCAUGCAGAAAAGACCCUAGGUUCUUUCUGUUUUAGGAGGCAAGCAGGCUUUCUCCCCAACUCUGCAAUGGCAGGUGAGGGAAGGAUCAGCUGAUUAAAUUCACAAAGCUCUUACCUCACUUACCUUACAGUCUGGAAUCCAAGCAGCCACAAUUAAUCAGAAAGAAAACAAGUUUCCAAAGCCUGACGGGAUGUGCCACCUGUCGGUAAGACAUGGCAUGGCAUCUCCCCGCUACCUCAUGCACAACGACACCCCCUCAGCUUCCUUUCCCCACUGGAUUGUGCCUAGAUUAUUUAGACCGUAUGUUCCAGACUGAUCCAGAGGGAUAGUAAACACUACCAAAAGGAUGUUUUUAUAUUUAUUCACAUGUAUACAAAAAGAGAGAAGAGCUUCUCUUUAAGGCUGUGGAAACCUUUGACAAAUUUACAAAUACAGUUCUUAGAAAUCACACUUUCAGUUAUUCUGCCUAUUUCAUGGUGAUUAGCUGAGUUAUGGCUAACGUCACAAAGGCCCAAUUUAAAAUUUCUUGAGUUGAUGGCCAGGGUUUGUCUGUAGGCUGUAGAAUCAUAAUAAUCAGGUACAGCAAUAGUUAAUAACUUGACUUAGUUCCCACCUUGUUUCUUCACAUAUAACUUUCACCCAAGUUUUCAGUUAUUUUUAGCUCUAUCGAAAGUCCCAGGUGCUUGCUUUAUUCCAGCAUUAAGAUCACUUUGGAUGAAGAGAAAAGCCUAACAAGCACAUUUUUAAAGGACUGUUUUUCAAGAUAAUAGUUUGAGCUGAAAAUCAAUUACGUACCAGAUUCCCUUGUCAAUUUCCAGAAAAAAAAUAAUUCUGUGCUCCUGGCAGUUAAGUGCUACAAAUCACAUAUAACAAAGGGACUGAAUUUCUGCAUUCAGAGAAAAAAA